rnacentral:rRNA from 1 species
GGCAGCACGGGUGCUUGCACCUGGUGGCGAGUGGCGAACGGGUGAGUAACAUAUCGGAACGUAUCCAAUAAUGGGGGAUAACUAAUCGAAAGGUUGGCUAAUACCGCAUACGCCCUACGGGGGAAAGCAGGGGAUCUUCGGACCUUGCGUUAAUGGAGCGGCCGAUAUCUGAUUAGCUAGUUGGUGGGGUAAAGGCCCACCAAGGCGACGAUCAGUAGCUGGUCUGAGAGGACGACCAGCCACACUGGAACUGAGACACGGUCCAGACUCCUACGGGAGGCAGCAGUGGGGAAUUUUGGACAAUGGGCGCAAGCCUGAUCCAGCCAUUCCGCGUGAGUGAAGAAGGCCUUCGGGUUGUAAAGCUCUUUCGCAAGGGAAGAAAACUUAAGUUCGAAUAAAGGAUGAGGCUGACGGUACCUUGAUAAGAAGCACCGGCUAACUACGUGCCAGCAGCCGCGGUAAUACGUAGGGUGCGAGCGUUAAUCGGAAUUACUGGGCGUAAAGCGUGCGCAGGCGGUUCUGUAAGUCAGAUGUGAAAUCCCCGGGCUCAACCUGGGAAUUGCGUUUGAAACUACAAGGCUAGAGUGUGGCAGAGGGGGGUAGAAUUCCACGUGU